rnacentral:rRNA from 1 species
GCCCUAGUAACGGCGAGUGAAGCGGCAACAGCUCAAAUUUGAAAUCUGGCUUCCUUUGGGAGUCCGAGUUGUAAUUUGCAGAGGGCGCUUUGGCGUCGGCAGCGGUCUAAGUUCCUUGGAACAGGACGUCACAGAGGGUGAGAAUCCCGUACGUGGUCGCCUGCCUUCGCCGUGUAAAGCCCCUUCGACGAGUCGAGUUGUUUGGGAAUGCAGCUCUAAAUGGGAGGUAAAUUUCUUCUAAAGCUAAAUACUGGCCAGAGACCGAUAGCGCACAAGUAGAGUGAUCGAAAGAUGAAAAGCACUUUGGAAAGAGAGUCAAACAGCACGUGAAAUUGUUGAAAGGGAAGCGCUUGCCGCCAGACUUGCCCGUGGUGGUUCUCCUCCUCGGGCAGGCCAGCAUCAGUUUGGGCGAUCGGAUAAUGGCCUCUGUCAUGUAUCUUCCUUCGGGAUGACCUUAUAGGGGAGUCGUAGUACGGUCAGCCCGGACUGAGGUCCGCGCAUUUGCUAGGAUGCUGGCGUAAUGGCUGCAAGCGGCCCGUCUUGAAACACGGACCAAGGAGUCUAACAUCUAUGCGAGUGUUUGGGUGUCAAGCCCGAGCGCGCAAUGAAAGUGAACGGAGGUGGGAACCCUCUCUGGGGGUGCACCAUCGACCGAUCCUGAAGUCUUCGGAUGGAUUUGAGUAAGAGCAUGGCUGUUGGGACCCGAAAGAUGGUGAACUAUGCUUGAAUAGGGUGAAGCCAGAGGAAACUCUGGUGGAGGCUCGCAGCGGUUCUGACGUGCAAAUCGAUCGUCAAAUUUGGGCAUAUGGGCGAAAGACUAAUCGAACUAUCUAGUAGCUGGUUCCUGCCG